UUGAACUUUGACCGGAUCUAGGGA
rnacentral:miRNA from 1 species